UACGUAGGGGGCAAGCGUUGUCCGGAAUUAUUGGGCGUAAAGAGCGCGUAGGCGGUCUGAUAAGUCGGUUGUGAAAGUCGGGGGCUCAACCCUCGGAUGCCGAUCGAUACUGUCAGGCUAGAGUCCGGAAGAGGCGAGUGGAAUUCCUGGUGUAGCGGUGAAAUGCGCAGAUAUCAGGAGGAACACCAAUGGCGAAGGCAGCUCGCUGGGACGGUACUGACGCUGAGGCGCGAAAGCGUGGGGAGCAAACGGG
rnacentral:rRNA from 1 species